GGCCUCUGUGUGUGCCUAUGUGCACACACACACACAUCUACACAGGUGUUUCUUUUCUUGAAAAUCUCUCUUUCUGGAUCCUUCCAUGCCUUUUAAUCCCCUCUCCUGUCAGUAUCCUUCCUUUUAAGUCCAACUUCUUUGACAAAUGGGCUCGCUUGGCUGAGUACUUCGCACCUGCAACAGCUCAGGUCUCAGCUGCCUCCCUCCUGCCCAGUCCCCCGGGGAGGGCAUGGACCCAAGUCCGGGGGGGAGGGGGGAGGCUCCUGUUAGCACAGCGCUGUUGUCUCCCCCACCAACCCCGUGGCAGAAGUGCUCUGGCCUUGAGGAGGCCUAGCCAUCUAACAUCUGGAGCCAACGUUGUCUCCACUCCCAGGCAAAGCUCCUUGCCAGUGGCUGGCCCCAAGAAGUCCACGCGGCUCCUUCAGGAGGCGCAUGAGGGUCCGGGAGCGUGGAAGGGGAGCUCCUGGUGCAGUGUCUCAAGGUCAUUUCUGCAGUCACCCUCAGACUUCUGUGAGCUUCUGGCAGCUUGACCUACCAGGGAGGGAGGGACCAGCUCCAGAGGUUCUCCUGGGGUGCACCUCACCUACCCCAACAGCCUGGAUAUCUUCUGACAACCAGGGCUUCCAGAACCCCAGGGCCCACCUGAGAUGGGCACACAGCUCGGCCUCUUCAAUACAGGGGCUAGUUGAGAGAAGCGUUGCCAAACAGCCUCCUCUGAAGGACGAGGAACCGGAGACGGAACUUAGGCCUUGCCACUGUUCUCCUAACAAUAUCAUAAAAUAAAAGGAAAAAAAUUUUAAAUUUUGAAACAUUCCAACAAAGUACUGUAUUAGUUUCCUCUUGCUGCUAUCCCAAGUUACCACGAAUUUAGUGACUUAAAACCACAUAGAUUUGUUCUCUUACGCUUCUGGAGGUGAGAAGUCUAAAGGCAUGGUGUUGGUAGGGCUGUUCCUUCUGGAAUCUUCAAGGGAGAAUCUGUUUUCUUGCCUUUUCCAGCUUCUAGGAACCGUCUGCAUUCCUCGGCUUGUGGCCCCUUCUUCCAUCUUCAAAGCUCAUCCCUCCAACCUCACUUCCAUUGUCACAUGUUCUUUCUCUGACUCUGACCCUCCGGGCUCCUUAUCUUCUAAGGACCCUUGUGAUUACAUUGAGCCCACUGGGAUAAUUCAAGAUAAUCUCCCGUUUCAGGAUCCUUAACUUAAUCCCACCUGCAAAGUCCCUUUUACCACAGAAGGUAGCAUGUUCAUAGGUUCUAGGGAUUAGGACAUGGGGGGACAUCUUUGGGGGCUGUUAUUCAGCCAACCAUGAGUAUAAAAUGUAAUAUGGGUAGACGUCUGUAUCUGCCACCAAGAUUAAACAGAUGCUAAUAUUUUGCCUUAUUUUCUUCAGGUUUUUUCCCCCAGAAAUAAAGCUUUAUAGAAAUAGCUAAUGCCCUAUAUCGCUUUUCCCUCUCUUUCUCCUCCAAAGUAACCACUUCCCGAGGUUGGUGAAAAUAACCCCCACGUGUUUCUGUUUGCUCCAGAUUAUAAAUGCAUUUCUAAACAGAACAGUACUAUUUCUUUACGUUUUGAACCUUGAUGUAAAAGGAAUCACUGUGCGUACCACUUUGCAACCUGCUUUUUUAACUCAAUAUGGUUUUGAGAUUAUACAUGUUGAUACAUGAAGAUCUAGUUCAUUCAUUUUAACUGCAAGAUACAGUACUUCCGAUGAGCAAGCCAGAGUUCACUUUGUCCUUUUGCUGAAGACAGAUUGUUUUCACUUUUUUUUUUGCUAUUACAGACAGUGCUUCAAUAAAUAUCUUUGUACUUGUUUUCUCGAACACCUGUGCCAAAGACCUCAGUGGGAGCCGCCCUGCUGGGUGUGGGAUGUGCACACCUUCAGAAUUAUUAGGUGUUGCCUACUGGUCCAAGAGGACUUCCCAACUACAAUGUUUAAAAGCAUCCAUUUUCCCACAUCCUCACCAGCAUCUGGUAUUUUCAGAUUUGCUGUUUUUUCAAAAUGAUUUCCUUACAUGUUUUCCAGUCAAUCUGUUCUGCUCCCAAUUUUUUCUUGAACGUUUAUACAACUGGGACCCUUCCUCCAUCUUGACCCAGAGUUUGUCAAUCCACCCUGGACCUUCCGUGUUCUGCAUGGUACCCUCACCUGAUUCCCUCCCUAGGGAGCUCCCCACUCCAGACGGCCCUCUGCCCAUGCUGAGUUCCAUUUGUGCCAGCCCUAGAAGAGCUGCCCCCUGUAGGGUUCGGAGGCUCUCUGCCCUCCCCACAGAAGCUGUGGGACGUGCAGCGAUUCUCCCGCUGGGAGGUGAAGACUUCUGCAUUACAACCCUCCAGCCUAGAUGAACGAGGCACGUCCAACUCUGACGACGAGAGUAAAUCCACCCUAGAAUUAUUCACAAUAAAUGGUUGUGUUUCUCCUGUCCCCAAGGGUGUUCUGGAACAUACACCUGCCAAUGAACUAAAAACCGUAUCCAGAACGUGGCAGAUGGAGGACUAAGUCCAGAGACUGUGUGUGACCUUUCUUCCCAGGGCAAGCCUCCUUUUUUUAACAGCCUUUAGACACCAAACCUUCUUCUCUUCUAGGUUUUUAAACCCCGCUUUAAGGUCCAGUUAAAGUGGUGGGCUCACUCUCUUGAGUUCUCCCAGCACAGGGGGUCCUCUCUGAGUUAUCUGGCCCUCAUAAUGAUCGUUUUUCCUCCUGUUGGCCCUUCAACAAAUGGAAACGGCAUUGUCCUCACGUGUCUGUGUUAAGCUGAACAGAUUGCUCAGCUAUCUGGUUCCGACCUGAUGGCCUUUUGAACUUUGUAUAUGCCUGGCAGCUGUCCCUGCCCAUUUUGUAUAUUCCCAUGUGCGCACCAGCCAGGGCUUUGCCCAGGGGUGCUGCUGGCAGAGUCAUGCUUAACCUCCUGCUGUGAUAAACUAUUGGUUUGUGGUUCUGAUGCUCAACAUUGUGCCCCCUUGUCUGACCCAUCCUGGGAUUAAGACAGGGAGAGGUGGGGCCGGCCUGGUGGCACAGCAGUUAAGUUUACACGUUCUGCUUCUCAGCGGCCCGGGGUUCGCCGGUUUGGAUCAUGCUGUGGUAGGCAUCCCACGUAUAAAGUAGAGGAAGAUGGGCAUGGAUGUUAGCUUAGGGCCAGUCUUCCUCAGCAAAAAGAGGAGGAUUGGCAGUAGUUAGCUCAGGGCUAAUCUUCCUCAAAAAAAAAAAAAAAAAAAAGACAGGGAGAGGAGGGGUUCACAGUGACCAGCAUGGCAUGAGGCUCCUUUGGGCCCUAUGUGUUACCUUCUGUCAUCUAAAGGAUAUGCAAAACUCCCUUUCAACUGAAUUCCCUUUCCAGAGAAUAACCCAGACCAACAGAGCCCAGGGGACACCAGCCCUGACUGUCCUCCUCCUCACAGGCUACUGGAAGCUCAAAAUGCCUGAGGUGCCAGGAGGCAGAGGGACAAGGAAACCACAGAAUAAGUCACCCAGAAACCCAGGGAGUUGAAAUCCUCUUCUCAAGCGCUUGUUUGCUAAAAACAAAUGUUUCCUAAUGGAACUCACACGGAGGCCUGGGCAGCCACCAAGGCGAAUAAUUUGGCGGAUGUCGGGGCUGGGGUGUCCGCGACUUCUGAAGAGGACCGACGAAGCUCACAGCCACAUGCCUGCACAUGACAUCUCUCACUGGGCUCCUCUCUCCAGGCUUUGUGGAUUCCUGAAUUCUCUCUGGCCGGGAAAUCUGAUCAAUCAUCUGAAAAGUUUUAAAAGGAGCUAGGUGAAGAUUUUUUCCCCCUGGCAGAACAGUUUAAAUCCUGCCGUAAAUUAAGGGUUCGCUUAACUCCUAAUUACUGCAUUAGAAAUUAAGAUAUUGUUUCUGUAAGACUUCUCAAACCAAAGUUCUUAUUCUUCAAAAAUGACAUCCUGCUUAUUAGCUUCUUAAAAAUCACUCACCACGGGGUUUACUGAUGGCUCUUGACAGUUUGCUGCCAUACACUUCUCAGCGACUGGAGGACACUCUCCUAAUCUAUAGUCUUACAUGAGGAGCAGAUGGGUUGAUACAUCCGUUCCAUGGUCGUGCUUGGCUUCAUCUUACUGAGAAGUUGGUUAAGUACAAUGUAAGAGGCAAGGUGUGGGUGUCACGUGAUGCCAUCUGUGUGUGUCUGACUGUGUGUCUAAUGAUGGACACGUAAUUGUACCGUGGUGAGCUGGAGCGGGCUCUCAUCACAAGCUCCUUGUGUGCAUUUCUUCUCGACUCCGCAUUCACUGACAUCAAGUCAGCAGCGUGAAAUCAGCCACACUAGGAGUAUUUACACCACAAAAAUUGGCAAACGCUACCAACCAGGGUGGGGUGGGGCGAGUGCUUAGAAAACGUCUGGAAGAAACAAGAAACACCAAAAAUAAUUACCCAUGCAGAGUGAAACUGGAGAGCAAGGGGAUUGGAGAGAAGUUUUUUUUUGCUUUUUGAAUUUUUUAAAAUCACGUUUGUAACUGUUUUUUAAAAAGAGAACUUUCUUUCUUUUUUAGGAACAAAGACUUCAGCAGCCUUUGUUAAUCCCACGCCAACUGUUAGCUGGAAACUGCCUGCGGCCCACCUGCCUGACUGGCCCACCUGCCUGACGAGGAGGAGAUCAGAGCCUGGAGAGGUGUCCUGAAGCCCCAGUGGGGCAACAUCCUGGGACGGGAGCUGGAGGCUGGGCAGAGGGAGGCCGUAGUCCGCAGUAAACAACUACCGAGGAAUGAAGCAGAACUCCAGAUGGAUUCCAGGAAGGAACCUCGUCACGCUCCCGAAAGGACUCCUAGAGGCCCCGGAUGUUCCCUAUCUCCUUCUGUACUGUUGACACCUGAUCGACCUUAAAAUGCUGCCGAACCUAUUGAUGAAUUCCAGUCCUCCCCAAAAAGCCCAUAUCAGUUUCAGCUAUCUCAUCCCCAAGAGCCUGUGGAGAGGCCAGCAGCCCAUCGUGAGAUAAUCAGAGGGGGGCCUGCCCAUCCUCAGUCUUUCACUUUGUCAACACUGAGACUCGUGGCUCCUGUGUGCUGUGCUGAGCUCCAAGGACGCAGAGAACGCUGGUCCCACGUGGAGGAGAGCAUGGGUGCAAGACUGUGGCACCACCACCAGGCUGUAGGUCCCAAGGAAGCCCUGUGUUGUAUUUGUAACUGUAUCUCUUACACCUAACAGGAGGCCCACACCUAGUAGGUGCUCAAUAAAAAAUUAGAAAUAAAUAAUACAACACGCUCCCUUUGAUAACAAAGAGUUGGGAGAUGGGGAGGAAAUGGUUAAUUCUGCUAGGGUAUUAAAGAAACCUUCACCGAAGAGGCCACAGGUCCAAGCUGGUCCAUGAAAUUGUAGGAGUCAACGGGCAGAGAAGGGAGAAGAGCAGUCCAGGAGGAGCGAAUGGGAGGGUGUGAUGUGGCAAGAGGUCAAGCAGGAAGAAAGGCAGGAUGAGGAGGGACCUUGAACUGCAGGCAGGUCCAGGCCCCACAGAUGCUAACUCUGUUCAUAGAUUCUACUGUUCACGUGACAAAUUCUUCUUAGAAUCACGAGCCAAACUGCCUCUUUAGAAACAUUAAUUUCCUUUUGUCAAGUGGUGAAGCCAUGCUGUGUUUCCUUUCUCACUUUGACUGCCAGGAAGCUCCUGAAGUACUGGGUUCCUUAUAAUUUUUUGUAUCCCCUAACAGUCCCACGCAGGACUUUCCACCCAAUAGAUCCUGUUUUAGUUCUCUGUUGCUGCAUAAAAAUAUACCAGCGAAUGUAGAAGCUUCAAAUAAUACUCAUUUAUUAGCUCACAGAAGUGUGGGCAAGGCUUGACUGGGUCUUCUGCAAGCCUUCAAUCAAGAUGUCAGCCAGGGCUGGGGUCUCAUCUGAGGCUUGACUGGGGAAAGAGCUGCUUGCAAGCUGUGUGGUUGUUGGCAGAAUUCAGUCCCUUGCAGAUGCCAGGCAGAGGCCUCAGUUUCUUACUUGGUGUCAGCUGACCCUUAGUAUCUUACCCUUUUAACAGGCAGCCCACAACAUGACAGCUUGCUGCUUCAAAGGUGCAAGGGAGGAGGUGUCCUUGCAAGACUGCCUUUGCAGUCUCGUGUAGGGGUAAUCAUGGCCACACAGUCGCAUACAUCUGUCACCUGUGCCUAUUCUAUUGGUUAGAACAAGUCCCACCCACGCUCAGGGAGGGGUUUACACAGGGCGUGAAGACCAGCCGAAGGAUCAUGGGGCCACCUCCGAGUCUGUCAGCCCCAGGUCCUCAUCAGAUAUUAACCAUUAGUUAACUGAACUACUCUGUUUGGCAAUUAAGGGCAUCACUGUUAUGUAGACACACAUAUUAUCUCCCCAAGAAGACAGGGAAGUGAGCUCUCUUCCUGCUCAGAACGCCCCCCCCGCCCCCACAGCAUCCACCACAAUGCUGGGCACUGACCAGCUGAUAAAUAUGAAACGAAGAAAUGUCAGAGGAUUCACAGUACUGCUGGAAGGACCUGGGGCUUUCUAUCAUCAAGGUGAAUCUCUGAUUGUCAUAAAUUUCUGGUUUGACACAUGUAAUUAAAAAAAAAAACCCAUAAAACAAUCCUAACAGCCACGAAGUGGGACCUACAUCAGACAAGACCAUUACACAUGUGGCCCUUCUCUAGCAAAAUGUCUCCUGACUCCCAGCCCCUAUUGUUUCCUCCCACGUUACAGAUGAGCUAUGCACAUUAAUAGUUUCCCGAUUCUGCCAGUGCAGCAUUUCACUAGCACAGUCUGAGAACCUGGGCUCUGGAGCCAGGCAGCCUGGGUUGGCAUCAAGCUUAGCCACUUACUGUGUGAUCUCAGACAAGCUGCUUAACUUCUAAUAAUGAUAGCAAAUGCUUGGUUAGUAUUUGCCAUGUGCCAGGCUCUUGACAUAUAUUAAAUUCAUAUAAAUUCAUUUAACCCAUCUAACCACCCUGGGAGGUAGGCAGCAUUAUUAGCCCCAUUUUACAGAAGAGAAAACUGAGGGAGAAUGGUCAAGACUGGGCUUAAGGCUCUCAGCCUGAGCAAGAACAUGGAGAUAGAAGGGUAAAUGGUGGACAAGACAACUGAGGACAGAGGAACAGCAAACAGGAAGCUAGUGCCAGUGGGUUCUCCUUCUAACCUGCUGUCCCCACGGCCGACCCUGGCCAAGGUGGACAGGUAGAAACCGUGCGCUUUACCAUUUGAACUGCUUGUCUGGACUAAGAGCUUAAAUGUGACUUGCAGGUCUGUGCAGGGUGUGGGGAGCAGAAAGGAGAAGCCAGAAUGCUAUCACUUUGGGAACUAGAUUUCGUCCUGCUUACAGCCACCUCACCCUGAUCUUUUUAGGUGGGUCUGUGGACCCUGCUUGUCUGACCUGCCAGUCAAUAUUCAGUGGUGGUACUGGGUGAGUCGCUGUACACACUAAGGGUCUGUUGCCAUGGUGUGGUGGGGACUGGUGUUGGAGGACAGUCGGUAUGUCAGCGAAAGUUCCCCUUAUGUGAGGGGCUGUUGAGGGGCCAGAGGUUCUAUCUCAGCUUCUGGAACCUUCCACCAACUCCAAAAGGGCAAAGGGCAUCGGAGUUAGCCUGUGAGCACGCUGAACACAGGGAACAAGGUUUCCUCUACUGGGAUGGCUGUGGAGGUGGUGGUGGUGGUGAUGGGAGGUGUUCAGCCUCUGAGACCAGAGAGGAGGGUUGAGAGACGAGGGGGCCGCGACACAGGGACAAAGCGGGCACAGCCGACAAAGACUCGCCUGCAGGAAGGGCCCUUUCAGAACAGUUGGGCUUAGGGAACAAGAUAAUGCACCACGGAGAGGGGAGAGGAGCUGGCACUCAAAGAGCUCUAGGGACGGUCCCUUCCUCCUCCCCAGCCGGACAGCUCUGGGCCUCCGUGGAUCUGGGCGUCCCUUACCCUGCACCCUCCUCCCACCCUCACCUCCUGACCGUUAGCCCUCUGAGGCCACCUCGUGACCAGCUGUGGGGAGGGGACCCGCCCGAGAUUCCAAAAACCCCUCAGAGCCAGACACCCUCUUAAUCCACGACCCCUUCCUCUGCCCAGACGCCCCCUUCACCCUUGUAACCCAGCCUGGGGGCCCCCCUGCGAGUCUGGCUUCUCUGGUAGGACUCAGCAAGCCUCACGGAGCAAACCAGCGCUUCCGACACUUUUCCCGCCAACAUGGCCGGGUAAUAGCUGGGAGGCUCCGCUGGUGCGCAGAGACACACGCAAACUGAACCCAGCGGCGGACACACAGUCCCCGAGAGGCACACAGGGAAUCCUGUGCCUGCCCGGGGAGUGACCUGGGGCUCCGGGCCUGCCAUCACUCCCUCGAAUAUUCCGCGCCCCACCCCCCAUCCCGCCACGACCCUGCAUCUCCCCACUGCCCUUUUCUGCCUGCCUAUCUCCCCUUCCUUCCUGACAGCGGGAAGGGGGUUCCACGAGGACAGAGGAGCCCCCCGCGCUCUGGCGCUGACUGUCCGCAAGUGCGCCCACUUUCGCAUGGGGACGGGAGCGUUUCUGCCCGGGAACUGCCUGCGCGCGGAGGACACACGGUGAUCUCCAGGCUGUGGCGGGCGGUGCGCGCGCGCCUGGCUUCCCCUCUGCGGUGGGGACCAGGCUUCACACUGCCUGGACUGCGCCACCUGCCCUUUGAGAGAAACGUGAGGCACUUCCACACCCUGGAAGCGGAGGCGGCCCAGCACCCGGCCCCUAACGUGAAGCCCCGGGAGGGAAUCAGGGCGCCAAAAGCGCCCCACGAAGCGCGGAGGCGCACCGACCGGGUGUCGGUCAACUUUGCGCACAUAUGUGGGAAUUAGGGGCCGUAGGCCUUGGCAGCGGGGGCAGGAGGGACGGAGCGGUGCGACUGGAGAGGGCCCGGCUCGCCAAAGGGGAUCUCGGAGUCCUGCGGGAGGCGCCACCCGGGCCCAGACGCAGGAGGCCGGGGGCGGGGAGGCGGAUCCGUCAAGCUCCAGUUGAGCCCUGGAAAAACCCCGGCGCGCAGGGGAGAGGCGGGCCAGCUCGCAAGCACUGCCGGGGACGGCGGGAACAAAGGCGGCCCGCGGCCGGAUGCAGUCAUGGAAAAACCCGUUGGGGCGCCGCGGCGGGGGCGGCAGGGGAGGGGCGGCGCGCGCCCGGCAGCCAUGCCACCCUCACCGGCCGGCCUGGGCGGGGCUGCUCCGUCCCUAGCCCCGGAGCGCUCCUCGCCGGCGAAGGGGGAGGCCCAGGAAAACAGAAAAUGCCGGGCGGGGCGGGGAGGCCUGGGGACCGAGAACCGGUAACCCCCUUGCUCCGAUGCUGCGCGCCAGCCUGCCCGCCGUGCACAUCCCAUGCUCUCGGCUGCGAGGGGGAGGGUGGCCCCGGCUGGUACACGCCAGACACACGCGGCGCUGCACACGGCCACUUGGCAGCUACAGCAGCCGGUGGUGACCAGCCCGUAGGGGGCGCGCACAGACGCAGGCAAUGGCGCGGACGCGUGUGCGGCGGCGCACACGCUCCUGCACACACAUGAUCACUUACGUGCACGUGCACCCAGUCACGCGAGCUGCCCAUAGCUCCCAGGGCUAGAUACAGAAGCUAGGGGCGGGGGCCUUAGAAGAAGCUGCGGUUAGGGUGCCCCCCUCCCCAUUUUACAGGUGCGGAGACUGGGCCUCCUGGGACCUAACGUGCCAGGUCCCGCCCCAGGGCUGGAGUUUCCCUCCCAUGCAGGACGCUGCCCGCCCUGUCCUGGUCUUAUGAACUGCCUGGAGACGGGGAGGCGUCACCACGGAAUUUUUUUUUUUCUGUGGAAAAGGAAAGUGUUGGCGCAAGUUGGACCCAGUGACUCCUUACGCCUUUUCCAGUUCUGACUUAUUAUGAAGAAGGAACUGUACCCAGAUCCCAUAAAAGGAGUUGGUGGGAGCUGAGAACAAGACUUGGUCCCUGGUUUAGCCCCAACCACAGGCUCUUCCUGGUUCAAAUGUCCCCUUGUUUAUUUGUGCUGCUGCCUGCCCGUGGGGGGUCAGGAGGCAAAGCCUGAAGCCGUGGUGUCCCUGGGGUGAAGAAGGGAUGUAGAGUAGGACAUGACUCCGCGGACCCAGAGCCAGCCUCUGGGAGCAGAGGGGACCCCAGGCUCUGCCCUAAGGGGGAGCUGCUGGGUUGGGGUGGCAGGUCUGGCUUCCUAAGCAGGAGCCCACGACUUCAAGAAGCUUCAAGUUCGAGAAGAGGCCUUUUUGUGAGGCCUGGCUGUUGGAAUUGUUGUGGAAAUACAGUUGUGAUAGAGGGACUGGUCACCAAUCAGAAUAAAGAUUCAAGAGAAGCAGGGGCGCCAGCGACACGACAGGGUCCAAUGAGCUGGCAUUUACUCCUGGUCCCCUUGGGAACUGAGUUUGGAAUCAAAUUACCCAGCCCUGCUUCUCCCUAGCUUCCUGGUUUGGGGAUCUUAUCCAUCAUCUUUGGGCCUCAAAUUCCUCAUCUGUAAAAUGGGAACAAGAGCUCCUCCACAGGGGUGUUUUGGGGAUUGAAAGUGGGUAUAAAUCCCCCCUUCCAUCCUGCCGCCCCUCCUUUUCCUCUUCUCGAAGUCCCCGGUGCUUGCGCGUUAGGAGUCCUUCCAAGUGCUGGUUUCGCUGUGAGCAGGUGGGAGGUCCAGUGGGACGAAGGCUAGGGAGCAGCGCCCCCUGGUGGUCUGUAUCAGGAGGCUCGCUCCUCCGUGAAGACCCGCCCCGGUUAACCUGGUUAGCUCCUGCUGGCGUCUGGCAAGUUCGAGUCUCCAGGGGCCGAUCGUGGAGCUCUACUCAGGGCGGCCUUUCCUUCUGACUCAGUUUCCCCCUCGAGCAAGCAGGGAGAAUGCUGCUCCCCCACAGCAGCUUCUCCUCUGCUCUCUCACGGCCCAGCUUUAACCAGCUUCUUUCAUUUCUGCCCCGGAGGAAUCCGCGCACUUGGCGUUUACACUGCGCUUUAUAGCUUGCAAAUCACUUUGACACACAUUACUGGUCCCUGAGGUGUGCUGUUUCUGGGUGGUGACGGCGCUCGAUGGAUAGAGGAUCGUGUUUUAGAGCGUGGCUCCAGCACGGUGCGCUGGCUUGGAUCCUGCCGCCUUCAUCCAGCGUGUAACCAGGGCGACAUUCAAAACAUUGAAUAACCAGUAGGACAGGCAGCGACCAAUCCGAACAGACCCUGCCCUAAACGCCAGGUACAGCCAAAUGCCUGUAUACUUGCUGAACAUUCUGGAAUAACCUCAACCUCACUGGGCCUUGGUUUCUCUGUCUGCAGGACAGGAAUGGUGAGCCCAAUAGUACCACCAUAUAGGGCUGUCCUGAAGACCAAAUUAGUUAAUGCACAGAAAAGACUGGGAAAUCAGUCUAGCCCAUAGAAAGCACCAGAUGAGUUAGCUUUAUUACUGGUCCUGCCUCCUCUCAGACUCAGUGACUCACGAUGAUUGCCACUUUUAAGAGAAACUCUCCAAGUGAGCCCACUGUAUGUACCUAAGGCUGCCUCCUGCCUCCACGCCUCCUUGUCUGGCCCUCCAGUUAUCUUACUCUCUAGGACUGCUUCUCAAACUUUACCAUGCGCCCAGAUUUCUGGGGGAUCUUGUUAAAUUGCAGAUUCUGAUUAAGGCGUUCUGCAUGGGGCUUGGGAUUCUACAAUCCCUCCAAGCUCCCAGGCAGGGCUGACGCCGGUCUGAGAAGCAAGACUCCAGAUCAGUGCAGAAGCAGAAGUGGCAGCUGAUGGAUCUGUGAAUGUUUAUUGAGCACCCACUCAGUGCAGGGCAGUCCGAGGAUCCAGCCAGUCUGAGGGCUGGCCUCCAGCCUCGAGCAGCAGACAGGCCAUUGCACAAACACAAGUUAACACUAGCAGUCAGGUCAAGGACAAACAUGUGCUAGACAGUAGGUGGUCCAUUCUCUGCCCAGUAGCCAGAGUGAGGCUCUAAACAGUAAAGAUCCCAGAACCGCCCUGCUUAAAGCCAUCCAAUGGCUCCCUCCUCACUCAAAAGAGAAGCCGGAUUCUUCUGGAUUCUUCUUCAAGGCCCUGCACCAUCUGGCCCCGCCUCUGACCUCAUCUCCCAUCACUCAGCUUCAUUCUAGGCUCACCUUUUGUUCCCUUGAACCAACACCUCAACUUCUAUCCUACCUGACAGCCUUUGAACUUAGCUGGUUAAUGCUUGUCCUUCAAACUGGCGAAUGCCUGGCUUCGUAUUCAGCCUCUCACUGCUUCCCGGAGACCGUCCUUGACCUAAAGGGAGUUUGCUCUAAAGUAGCUGACCUCAGCCCAGAUCAGAUAUUCUCUAUUGUAUCAUUCUGUUUUUAAGACUUUUUAAUAGAACUUCUAAGUUCAAUGUUAUGGCAUUAUAUUUUUGGUUGCUUUAUGCCUGCUCUGUGAGGCCUGAGGUGUCUGCCUACCUUAUUCUGCUUUACCCCCAGCACCUAGAAUAGUAUCCGGUGCAUAGUAGGCCUUCAGUGAGGAUCUGUUGAAUGAAUGAAAGAAUGACUCUUACAGGGCUUUUCAAGAGGUGAGAGGUGCCCGUGGUGCCCCAGGUGGGUGAGAGGAGGCUUCACAGGAGGAGACUGAUGCACAGGAGGGUAGUCAGGGAUGAGCUUCCUGGGGUCAGCAUUCAUGGAAGGGUUGGGACGGCCACAGGAGCAGGCAGAGGGAGAAGUCGGGCUGCAGUGCAGGCUCAGGGAAGGCUCCCUGACCCCACAGGGAGCUCCUGAGCAGGGAUGGCCUUUUAUCAUUGCCCUAAGUUCAGCCAAGGGGGUGGACCUUCCUACACCUGCGUUCAUCAGUCAUGGGCCAGGCAUCUUAAUUUCUUUAAUGGAGAUGGUCACCAGAGAGGGCUGUCAGCUGAGGGACCUCGUGUCUGCUGCCAGCACUCCCAGCACUGGCCUUCGGGCCUGCAGGGGAUCUGGAUGGCACAGCACGGAGCCCACACAGGGAGGGGCUCACUGAUAGGAGGGCAGGAUUCAGAUAAGCUGGCAGAGGGAGCGGGGCCAUGCAGGCAGCCCAGCAGAAACCCUGGCAGGGGACUUCACAGGGCCAGAUCCCAGGGUGGAGAGGCAGAAGUCCUCUCUCCCAUUCCCUGAGGGCAGGGUAAGAUGAAUCACAGGCGUGAUACAGACCUUAGGAGGCUGCAAACACGUCCUUGACUUUGUUCUUAUACAUUGUUUUAGCGUUGAUCAGUGCCAAAUUCUCAUCAACCAGCUGCUACACUUCAUUUGUUUUUUGUGUGUGUGGAAGAUUCGCCCUGAGCUAACAUCUGUGCCAAUCUUCUUCUGUUUUGUAUGUGGGUCACCACCACAACAUGGCUGUCGACAAGCAGUGUGUGUCCACACCUGGAAACCGAAUGCUGGCUGCUGAAGCAGAGCACGCUGAAGUUAACCACUAGGCCAUGGGGCCAGC
rnacentral:lncRNA from 1 species